rnacentral:rRNA from 1 species
GGGGAAUAUUGCACAAUGGGGGAAACCCUGAUGCAGCAACGCCGCGUGAGCGAUGAAGGCCUUCGGGUUGUAAAGCUCUGUCUUCUCUGACGAUAAUGACGGUAAGAGAGGAGGAAGCCACGGCUAACUACGUGCCAGCAGCCGCGGUAAUACGUAGGUGGCAAGCGUUGUCCGGAAUUAUUGGGCGUAAAGGAUGCGUAGGCGGUCUUUUAAGUGGGAUGUGAAAUACCCGGGCUUAACCUGGGAAUGGCAUUACAAACUGAAAGACUGGAGUGCAGGAGAGGAAAGUGGAAUUCCCAGUGUAGCGGUGAAAUGCGUAGAGAUUGGGAGGAACACCAGUGGCGAAGGCGACUUUCUGGACUGUAACUGACGCUGAGGCAUGAAAGCGUGGGGAGCAAAC